GCGGAUAUGGCGGAAUUGGCAGACGCGCUAGAUUCAGGUUCUAGUGAAAGCAAUUUCAUGCAGGUUCAAGUCCUGUUAUCCGCACCA
rnacentral:tRNA from 1 species